rnacentral:rRNA from 2 species
AGACCGAUAGCGAACAAGUAGAGUGAUCGAAAGAUGAAAAGCACUUUGAAAAGAGAGUUAAACAGUACGUGAAAUUGUUGAAAGGGAAGCGCAUGGGGGCAGACUUGGACGCGGGGUUCAGGGUCUCCUUUGUGGAGGCGUGUACUUCCCCGCGGACAGGCCAGCAUCGGUUCUGGGGGCCGGACAAAGGCGACGGGAACGUGGCUCUCUUCGGGGAGUGUUAUAGCCCGACGUGCAAUGCGGCCACCUGGGACCGAGGACCGCGCUUCGGCAAGGAUGCUGGCGUAAUGGCCUCAUGCGGCCCGUCUUGAAACACGGACCAAG